UAACCAGGCUCGUAUGCUCUUCUAUAUAACUACUUACAACUUGUUCAUAUUGUUAUCUUAGGAUCCUGUUAUUUGUUUUCGAAAAUUUUGAAGAUUGACGGUGUAAGGUAAUUUUGCAAAAAUUUCAGAUCAACGGGAGAAGGAAGGUGGAUGUGUGAUCAGAUGUGGAUAUUCUUCCUUUUAUCAGGCACCUAUUAUCACAAUGUAGAACAUGUGACGACAGAACUGCUUUAGUUUGAAGACUAUGAAGUCAAUGAUAAAUAAGAAGUUUUGUCGCUCUUGCUGGCGUUUUAUAGUUUUGUUGCUGUGGCUGGCGAAGCUGAAGAUGGACUGGUAUAUGCAAGUCCUCUCCAAAGCUUAAACUGCUUGUGAGUAUAGAAUUUCUAUUUCCUUCAUUUAUCUCCCUUGUUCCAUAGACCAGGGGAAAUGUGCGAAACGCUUGCUCUGAGGGUAACAAUUCAAUGCUUUUUGCUUCUUAAGAUAAGUUCGAGGAUGGAAAGAGAGUAGUCUAUAUUACACUUAAGCUUCUAUUAGUUGUCUAUCUAAUUACCUUCCUACAUAACUCCUUUUUUUUGUGACGAAGUAUGUUUACCUUCUUAUACAGCUCCACAUUUUCAUGGUGAAUGAGGUUUCCUGCAAUAAAUUCCAUCAAAUUAAGCUAGUAAAGGUGAAAUUGUACGAGAAUAAAGCACCUUUAGUGGCCAAGUUAUUAUAAUAGACCUUUCGGUUAAGUUCUUGAAUUUUAUCAAUCAGUAUUUGGUCCUACAAAAUUAGAAGUGUUAGGGUGGAUAAUCCAGCUGUGGAUGUAUGUAACAGAUCGUCAGAUAAUUAUUUGCACAGGGUAUUGAAGUUUCAGACCUUUCUUGAACGAACACCUUUAAGACUCAUUUCCAGUUGGUUUUCCAAAUUUUGUAAUUCGUUAACAUUUAAACCAGGCAGCUCUUCUCCCAUCAGUUGCCUAUAACAGUCUAGAGCAAAUAUAGUAUGAGUUUGCAUACCCUGCCAUUGUUUAUUAUCCACAACAGAGGCGCAUCUAUGAGAUAAUAGUGGCUUCUUAUUAUUUCAAGUUUUAGUACGUUAAAUCUUCAAUGCCUGUAAGAAGUUUGUCUCUAUCUUUUGGCCAAAAUCUGGUCUACUUCAGGAUGAAUUCUAGAUAUUAAGGCGAGCCAAUUUUUGGCUAGCUCAUAUUGGUCAAUUUCCCUUUUUUUUUUCCUCGCAUAGGUGGGUUUGACUAGAAAUGUGAUGUGGUACUUAGUCCCAAUGCAUUUGUACGGCAUGUAAAUUACAGUCAUGACUAUUUUUGUUGUAAUUGUCAUGUUUCACCACUUUUUUAACUCACGUAAUUAUUGUUGGUCUAUGUUGAAGCCAAAAGACCGUCCACAUGGCUUACUCACGUAAUUCAUGCUCACGUUUGGUUUAGUUUCUGUUUAAUUGAUGUCAUGUAAUAAAAGGCAAUUAGAAGCUUUUUGCAUUGACUAUCUUUCAAUGAUAUUUUUCUCCCUCUUAAUGACUUCCUUUUAAUCAGUAGGGUUCUUGUUUUGCAGUUUUUUGGUUGUCUGUAAGAACUUCAGGAUUACAUGAGAGGGAAUGGGUCAGGAUGUCAGGAUUGAGAUCCCACUAUGAACGUGGAAAUUGGAAACCCAACCACUCUUGGCCCUAUUUUUUAACAAAGGUGCAAACUAUUUAACUCAGAUAUCUCAAGCUAGGCAAGGUGUGAUAAGGUUUUGCUGGUAAUUAAGAAUUUAUGCUAAGGAGUUGGGCUUUAGUGUUUGAUAGGCUUUGGUAUUCAGCAUGGCCGCUUAGUCAUAACUUAGGUGCAAUGUUGCUGUUUCAGAUGUCUGA